UUUUUUAUUCCCUCCCCAACCUCCUUCCCCAUACGACUUUUUAUUUAUGUAGGAUGUGUGCUGUCUAAUGAUGGGAUGACCACACUUUUCCAUGUUCUAAAAGUGCUUCUCUCCCGCAGGGUCCCAGGGCUGGUGGUUGCUUUGGGUCUACAGCUACGUCUUACCCGCCUCCUGCCUCAACAGCCUGUGUGGUGGCAAAGCCGGUGUGGGGCUGGGGAACGCAGCGUUCUCCAGGAGGGGGACCCGGCUCUCCUUCUGCAGUGCAGGCGAAGGCCUAGAUGCCAGUGUGACCUCCCACAAGGCGUGGCUUCCAGACUCCCCGGCCGGAAGUGAUGCUUUUUUGCCGCGGGCCCUGGGUUUGAAGCAGCCUGGCUUUCUCUUGGUAAGUGGCUGGUGUCUCAGCAGCUGCAAUCUGAGCUCAG
rnacentral:lncRNA from 1 species